CCUACGGGUGGCUGCAGUGGGGAAUAUUGGACAAUGGGCGAAAGCCUGAUCCAGCCAUGCCGCGUGUGUGAAGAAGGCCUUCGGGUUGUAAAGCACUUUCAGUGGGGAAGAAAGCCUUGGGGCUAAUACCCUCGAGGAAGGACAUCACCCACAGAAGAAGCACCGGCUAACUCCGUGCCAGCAGCCGCGGUAAUACGGAGGGUGCGAGCGUUAAUCGGAAUUACUGGGCGUAAAGCGCGCGUAGGCGGUCUGAUAAGCCGGUUGUGAAAGCCCCGGGCUCAACCUGGGAACGGCAUCCGGAACUGUCAGGCUAGAGUGCAGGAGAGGAAGGUAGAAUUCCCGGGGUAGCGGUGAAAUGCGUAGAGAGCGGGAGGAAUACCAGUGGCGAAGGCGGCCUUCUGGACUGACACUGACGCUGAGGUGCGAAAGCGUGGGUAGCAAACAGGAUUAGAUACCCCAGUAGUC
rnacentral:rRNA from 1 species